rnacentral:lncRNA from 1 species
CAGCAGCAGCUCCUCUGAACAGGGAAAAAGACGAAGAUCAGGUCAGAUCUGGCAGUGACUCCAGUGCAACCAUCAUUUUGUUUCGAGUACACAAAAGGCUGCGAGCUGGGUCAGUGGCCGGUCUCACACUCGUCAACUGUGUACAGAACUGUUAAGGUAGCCCCCAUUGCUUCCUUACAACUCUCAAAUCAUCGAUUUGUACAGUCUUGCAGGAAGGGAGAGUUUUUAAACUUUGACUUCGAUGGUGCAGAUUAAAAGCUUCCAAAUGAUACGGUGCUUCAUGUUUUGAAAAAUCUCUGCUUUGAUUGGUGGCUUUUGGUGUCUUGGCCUUGAUAAGUGGGUCCAAAACUAAGCAUUGGUACACUAAAGAAAGAAAGAACAGAAACGAAAAGACAAAAAAAAGAAAAAAAAACAGAAGUAGCUCUGCAACACCGUUCGUAAGUAUCACGCUUUGGUGCCAUUCUCAUACAUUUUGAUAUGACUUUUUGUACCCCCCAAACUUUUUUUGGAGUAAACUUUGAAUUUUUUUGUAUAUAAUUGUUUUGUUUUGUUUAUUUUGAUUUAUUUUUCAAAAAUUUUAACAAGUAUAUAGGUUGGAAACCAAGGUGAUAUGGGACUAAUAAAAACCAAGCUUAGUAAUGGUCUUUAGAAUUUCUUCUUAGCUUUGCAUAUGAUUUUGCAUGAUCCCACUAUCCAUCCCUCUAAUUGUGGCUUUGCAAAUUUAUAAAAUUUGAUUACUAUCAUACACAAUUUGAUUUGACAUGAUGAAACCUCAGUAUUGGUUUUGUCUUAAAAUUAGGGUUAGAUUGGGUCAGAACAUUCUUACCUUCUCAAUGAUUAAUAUGUCCUACAUUUACUAUGUAUUAGGAGAGAUUGGCCCUAGUUUAUAUAUCAAUCAGCUCCAAUGACAAUGCUACAACUUCUAGGAAGUUGAUAAUGCAUGUUGCAAUGUAGACCUCAAGUAAGGAAACAAAAAGAGGUGUUAGUAAAACAUUAUGUAUGGUUGACACUUCAAAGUAAGAGAACAACAUUAAUGAUCAAUUUAAAUACA